rnacentral:rRNA from 1 species
GACGAACGCUGGCGGCGUGCCUAAUACAUGCAAGUCGAACGCACUCUCGUUUAGAUUGAAGGAGCUUGCUCCUGAUUGAUAAACAUUUGAGUGAGUGGCGGACGGGUGAGUAACACGUGGGUAACCUGCCCUAAAGUGGGGGAUAACAUUUGGAAACAGAUGCUAAUACCGCAUAAAACCUAAACACCGCAUGGUGUAGGGUUGAAAGAUGGUUUCGGCUAUCACUUUAGGAUGGACCCGCGGUGCAUUAGUUAGUUGGUGAGGUAAAGGCUCACCAAGACCGUGAUGCAUAGCCGACCUGAGAGGGUAAUCGGCCACACUGGGACUGAGACACGGCCCAGACUCCUACGGGAGGCAGCAGUAGGGAAUCUUCCACAAUGGACGAAAGUCUGAUGGAGCAACGCCGCAUGAGUGAAGAAGGUUUUCGGAUCGUAAAACUCUGUUGUUGGAGAAGAAUGUAUCUGAUAGUAACUGAUCAGGUAGUGACGGUAUCCAACCAG